UUGGGUUGGGACGAUGAGGAACGGAGCCAGCUGCGAGACUUGGUGUGAAUUGCAGGACACAUUGAGCACUGAUUUUUCGAACGCACAUUGCGGCCUCGGGUCCUUCCCGGGGCCACGUCUGUCUG
rnacentral:rRNA from 1 species